AGUUUUAUAGUGUAUAUUAAGCACUGUUUAUUGAUGUUAAACCAGAAGAUUUAUCUUAAAACUU
rnacentral:tRNA from 1 species